UGCCGCUUCAUAUCGGAUUGGCACCUACACAGUCUCCGGAAGCGACAUCCUUGGGUUAGAAGGCACAUCCUGGCUGGAUGACAGUGUCAUCCAUGCCUAUCUGUACCUGGUCCAGAAGCAACACACUGAUGCCAGAUCACAAGCUGUCUGGAUAAUGGAAUGUUUCCAGUAUAAACUGUGGGAAAAGCACAACUACUCUCAGUGGUUAUAUGAACAGACUGAGUUGAAGAAGUACGACCUGCUGCUGAUGCCCAUCUGUAUCAACAGUCACUGGCUUCUGCUUGCAGCCAAUGUCCGGGAUAGAACAGUGUGUGUUAUUAACUCUCGACCUUCAAGAGAUCUGGAAACAGAAGUUUCCCAGCACUGGAUGUAAGUUGAUACAUUAUCG